UCAACAUGCAGGAGCUUGGUAAUUGUGAAAAACCAACAUGUAAACUAGGUGUCCAGUAACAUAGUGAAGCUAAUGAGAAAACGCCAGGCCUUCCUAUUGCCGCUGCCUUCCUAUUACGGGGGACCAGUAGGACUUCUGUGUAAUGCAGGAAGGCAUAUUUUUGAGUUGCACACCUUCCCUUUUGAAAGGUUCAGAGAUGGACUGAAAACACUUGGAGUGUAACAGAAGACUGAACAGCAUCCAGAAGCUUUUCACCCUCUCUUCCUGUUACAAACCAGGAGGAAGGUACAGAAAGGUUGGAGGACAUCUUAACUUUGCUACUGGGUCCAAUGUAGUACCACCAAUUGGUUUUCACCUCAGCCCUCUUUGCAAUUUCUUCAUCAAGAAGGAAAGUAUCCAGUAGUCAGCACGUGCAUCAAUUGUCUUUGGCUUCCCAUCCACAAAACAUGGGAAUACUAGCGCAACAUGGACUUUGCGGUGAGAAACACCCAGGGUUUUGGACUGGUUUAGUUUACAAGAAUGGGGUAAUGGCGUGUUGCAGUUUGUAUUUUGAGUAUAUUAACACAUUUCCCAGGUUUUUGUGUUUUAAAAUCAUAAAUGAUACAUUUUGAUGUACCUUGUUUGAGUUGAGGGAAGUUUGAGAUUGGGAUUUUUUUUUUGUUACACUGAAUGCUGAGCUAGCAUUGUUUCCCUGAAAGAUUUCUAAGCAUUUAUGAUGGUGUUAUUUCAGUCAUUCAGGAAAAGAGUUGGAAAAAAUAA